GUGAAUCAUCGAAUUUUUGAACGCAAAUUGCACUCUCUGCUGAGAGUAUGCCUGUUUGAGGGUCAGUAUUAAUAAAAAUCGGUGUGCUGCUUCUUUCUGUCGCUCCGGGGUGUGGGUCAUCUUAAUAUCCUUUAGGUUUUCAGUGGCUUAAAAUUGACUUUUUUUGCGCAUUCUAGAUGUACUUUAAGUCUUUUUUUUAUUAGU
rnacentral:misc_RNA from 1 species